UGAACGCUAGCGACAGGCUUAACACAUGCAAGUCGAGGGGCAGCGGGGGUAGCGAUACCCGCCGGCGACCGGCGCACGGGUGAGUAACGCGUAUGCAACUUGCCUAUCAGAGGGGGAUAACCCGGCGAAAGUCGGACUAAUACCGCAUGAAGCAGGGGCCCCGCAUGGGGAUAUUUGCUAAAGAUUCAUCGCUGAUAGAUAGGCAUGCGUUCCAUUAGGCAGUUGGCGGGGUAACGGCCCACCAAACCGACGAUGGAUAGGGGUUCUGAGAGGAAGGUCCCCCACAUUGGUACUGAGACACGGACCAAACUCCUACGGGAGGCAGCAGUGAGGAAUAUUGGUCAAUGGCCGAGAGGCUGAACCAGCCAAGUCGCGUGAGGGAUGAAGGUUCUAUGGAUCGUAAACCUCUUUUAUAAGGGAAUAAAGUGCGGGACGUGUCCCGUUUUGUAUGUACCUUAUGAAUAAGGAUCGGCUAACUCCGUGCCAGCAGCCGCGGUAAUACGGAGGAUCCGAGCGUUAUCCGGAUUUAUUGGGUUUAAAGGGUGCGUAGGCGGCCUUUUAAGUCAGCGGUGAAAGUCUGUGGCUCAACCAUAGAAUUGCCGUUGAAACUGGGGGGCUUGAGUAUGUUUGAGGCAGGCGGAAUGCGUGGUGUAGCGGUGAAAUGCAUAGAUAUCACGCAGAACCCCGAUUGCGAAGGCAGCCUGCCAAGCCAUUACUGACGCUGAUGCACGAAAAGCGUGGGGAUCAAACAGGAUUAGAUACCCUGGUAGUCCACGCAGUAAACGAUGAUCACUAGCUGUUUGCGAUACACUGUAAGCGGCACAGCGAAAGCGUUAAGUGAUCCACCUGGGGAGUACGCCGGCAACGGUGAAACUCAAAGGAAUUGACGGGGGCCCGCACAAGCGGAGGAACAUGUGGUUUAAUUCGAUGAUACGCGAGGAACCUUACCCGGGUUUGAACGCAUUCGGACCGAGGUGGAAACACCUUUUCUAGCAAUAGCCGUUUGCGAGGUGCUGCAUGGUUGUCGUCAGCUCGUGCCGUGAGGUGUCGGCUUAAGUGCCAUAACGAGCGCAACCCUUGCCACUAGUUACUAACAGGUAAAGCUGAGGACUCUGGUGGGACUGCCAGCGUAAGCUGCGAGGAAGGCGGGGAUGACGUCAAAUCAGCACGGCCCUUACAUCCGGGGCGACACACGUGUUACAAUGGCGUGGACAAAGGGAGGCCACCUGGCGACAGGGAGCGAAUCCCCAAACCACGUCUCAGUUCGGAUCGGAGUCUGCAACCCGACUCCGUGAAGCUGGAUUCGCUAGUAAUCGCGCAUCAGCCAUGGCGCGGUGAAUACGUUCCCGGGCCUUGUACACACCGCCCGUCAAGCCAUGGGAGCCGGGGGUACCUGAAGUCCGUAACCGAAAGGAUCGGCCUAGGGUAAAACUGGUGACUGG
rnacentral:rRNA from 1 species